rnacentral:tRNA from 3 species
GCCCCUGUGGCGCAAUUGGAUAGCGCAUGCGACUUGUUAGUAAUCCCGUGACCCCUACUACUACAAUAUACUUAAUGCUAACAAAUAUCCCAGCUAUGAAACCAUCAUAUGUCAUCGCAAGGCUGCGGGUUCGACCCCCGCCAGGGGUU